CAAAUGGGGGUCCAUUCAUUCAACAACAGCUGGGGAUUCCUGCAUAUAGGAGAUAGGGGAAGGAGAGGCUGAUCGCAAGGAAGAGUCCAGCAGAAACAGAGCCAUGGAAGUAUGAUGCAGGGGAAACAGGCCAAAUCGACCUUGUCUUGAAGAGUCCGUGGGUUAUGCUUGUGCACAUCCACUUUCCAGCCAGGACAGCCAGGCGGUCCCCACCCAGGGCAGUGCUUGAGGUCACCCACAAGGCGCCUCCAGUUCUGCUCACCAGGAUCAAGGUUCUCCAGAGUUCAACAGCCACAGGAGGGAACCUGGGAAAGGCCACCGGAAGGCACAAAGAAUCUGCUCACUCCAUGCUCCCUUGGGCGGCCCCUGCUGAGCUGCUUCUGCUGCUCCCUGCUUGCUCUCUGAACCCCACCUCUUGGGCAUAUCCAGUUACAGUCACAGGCUCUGCUAUCACCUGGAAUGCCCUGGGCCUCUCCUCAGCUCCUCUCCUUCCCUGCAGAGAGCUGGGGCUUAGGCCACUCAGAUAUCCAGGAUCAUUAAUUCUGUGGCCCCUCCCUGACACCACUCCCAUCUGAUCCUGGCACCUCCAUGCUCCAUCUUCUUCUCAGAAUCCUGUAACCCAAACAUCCCAGCAUUCCUGGUGAGAGGAAAAGGCACUUUCAUUCUGCAGAACACUCGUCCUUCCCCAUAAGGAGCUCCUCCAAUACCACCGAGGCCAGCUCUCCUGAGCCAGCCAGUGCCUGCCUGCCCACUUGUCUCUUCUUUCUUUUAGUGACAGACAGCACCUGAUUUCCUCCAAGAGGGAAUCUUCUCUUUCUGAAUCCAAGUGCCUUGGGUGGUGAGGUAGGUGGACCUCACAUCUUAGCUCAGAGUCUCCCUGGCCAUCAGGAUCAGCCAACAGCAGGGCAGGUAGACCAAAAUGAGCCAAGAGAGCCGGGCCCAGGAUGUUUGCGGCAACCACUGGAGGAAGGCACCCUGUUUCUGCUGAGCCUUCAGAAUAGGUCCUCUUGGGUUUUUCACCAGUCCCCCUCCUCCAAUCUGCCUCCAUUUCAUACAUUGGUGGAUGAGGCCUUGAACAAAAGAGUAGAAUCAGAGCUGGAAGGAGCCUUAGAAACUUCCUGGGUCAAGAUGAGGGGAAUGAGGGUUAGAGAAGAAAGGAACUUGCCAAGAUCACAAAGUGAAAACCAGAACAAAAGCAGGGAGCUCCCAACUCCCUUUCCAGCACUUUUCCACUAGCAGUGUCAUUGUUGUAUGGUAAGGCUUCACCCAUUCUCUCUCCAUGUGGAUAAAUUCCAGUUUUAUUCGCAGACAAGUCAGAUCAUGACAAGUCACAUCACUCCAUGAUGUUUCUAAGGAGACUGUAUAUAACCUUUCACCCACUCUUUGUCACCACCUCUCCAGCUAGGAAAAAAUUUAAUUCAACAAAGAACUCCACCAUCACCCUCACCCCAGAUGCUGAAACUCUUUGACAGCAUAUUGAUUUUCUGGGGUCCCUGAGCCAACAUGGGAGUCUGCAGGCCCCAGUGAAGUCAGGUUUCUUGUCCCCUCCCCUGUGCACAUGCAAACCUCCACACAUUCAGUACAGGUGACCCUGCAGGUCCAACGAAUGAGACAUUGAAUCACCACUGAGAGAGGCUCAGAGGAGGGAAACUCCACUGGGAAAGGAGGUCAGGCUGCCCUAGUUAAGCCACCUCCACUCCAGCAGGCCUUGCCUGGCUCCCUGCCUCGCCUCAACACCCUUCCACCCUGACUCUCCCAAAGUGGACCAUGUCACCUCUUUCCAGGCCUAAAACCACAUGAGUCAAGGGACAGGAGGGUUUGAGAGACUCUAGUCCAAUAAUUGAAGGCAUUAAACCACACCUGAGGCCUUUUAAUACAAUUUUAAAAUUAUGCUUGGGCUGGUUACAUAUGAAACCCACUCCAGUCCUGUCCUGAGCACCAGGAAAACCCUAAGGCCUGUCUGAGUAGCAGCCCAGUUUCAGAGAGCUCUUCCAAGCUCUCCCCCACGGAAUCAAUAAGAGCUUGUUGCAUGUUCUAGGAAAGUCGCAUCACACCCUAUGACUGCAAAAGAGACCCUGUCCUCUCUUCCACCCUAAGAAUAAGAACCCACUUCUCCAGCCUCAUCUUGUUCCUGACAAGACGGGCUUGGCCCAUAGGCAAACUCAGAGACCUGGCUCUUCACCUUUCACAGGGCCUUCUCUGGCAUCUUGGAGGACACCCUCCACUGUACUGGUUCUGGCUGCCUUGGCCACAGUCCAGUGUCCACUCCGAGGACAUUUCUGUCCAAAUGUGGUUCACAUCGCCUGUUUAAACUCUCCCAGACACAUUCAGACUUCACAUGGACAGAAAUGUCCACCCAACUAUGAUGAACCAGCUGGCUACACCCUUGGCCAGAGCCUGACCUGCCUUGACCAUCGCUUCCCUGGCAGCUUCCCCAGCUGGGUCUCCAGACUGGGUUUCCAAAAGCCACAUCCUGUGGUCACAUAUAGAAGUCUGGGAAAGACAGCACUUUCCAGAGAAGGUGAUUUCAGCUGUCAAACCAACAUUUCCUGGUUGGUUGGUUUUCCCCUUUUACAUUCCUCCCAAAUAUUUAACUUUAUAAGGUGUGUCCCUUAGGAUUUCUAUAUGGAGUUUGCUAAUUCAGGCAGGAGAAUGGGGUAGCAGAAAGAGUCUUUCUGAGCCUAUUUCAGCAUCGCUGUUUUACAAGAACAUCAAAGCUUACUGCCAGGAGAAAAAGACACUGUCUUUACACCUUAAUUCUCUAUCCUCUUCCUCCUUUUUUACAUCUUUGAUCACCAGCACUGAGAAAAUUACUAAUAUCCUUCCAAAACAGCUGUACACUUCUCACUUUUAGCAACAUCAAACUCACUCUUAUCAUAAGUGUUAUUAUAGGUGGAAUUGUGUUCCCCGCUAAAAUUAGUAUGUUAAAGUCUUAAUCCCCAGUACCCCAGAAUGUGACUGUAUUUGGGAGACAGGACUUUUAAAGAGAUUGUUAAGCUUAAAUGAGAUCAUAUGGGUGAGCCCUAAUUUAGUGACUGGUGUCCUCAUAAGAAGAGGCAGAGACACAAAAGAUUCGUGCACACAGAGGAGAGACCUACACUUAGGCUGGUUAUAAUUCUUGUGAGAAUGCAAGAAGGUGGCCAUCUCCAAAUCAAGGAGAAGGGCCUUAGGGGACAACAAACCUGAUGAUAUACUGAUCUUGAAUGCAAUGGACUAAAUGCUUACGCUCUCCCCAAAUUCGUACGCUGAAAUUCUAAUCUCCCAGAUGAUGAUAUUAGGACAUGGGGCCUUUAGGAGGUGAUUAGGUACUGUUAUAAAACAGAUCCCAGAUAGAUAGCUAGUCCCUUCCACCAUGUGAGGACACAGCUAGAAGGCAACAUCUAGAAAGUAGGCCCUUGCCAGACAUCAAGGUGCCUUGAUCUUGGACUUCCCAGCCUCUAGAACUCUGACUGUAUUAGUCUGUUCUCCCAUUGUAUAAACAAAUACCUGAGACUGGGUAAUUCACAAAGAAAAGAGGUUUAAUUGGCUCACCAUUCUGCAGGCUGUACAAAAAGCAUGAUGCUGAUAUCUGCUUGGCCUCUGAGGAGGCCUCAGGAAACUUACAAUCAUGGCGGAAGGUGAAGGGAAGCAGGUGUCUUACAUGGCAGAAGCAGGAACUCUUAAGAGAGAGAGUGGGAAGGUACUACACACAACCAGAUCUUGUGAGAACUCACUCACUAUCACGAGAGCAGGACCAAGAGGAUGGUACUAAACCAUUCAGGCGAACCCACCCCCAUGAUCCAAUCACCUCCCAUCAGGGCCUGCCCCCAACAUUGGGAAUUACAAUUGAACAUGACAUUUGGGUGAGGACACAGAUCUAAACCAUAUCAGUGAGAAAUGAAUUUCUGUUACAUAAAAGCUAUUCGGUUUAUUGUAUUUUGUUAUAGCAGCCCAAAUGGAUUAGGACACUGAAUGCCCAGCCUCCAGAACUAUGAGAAAAUACAUUUCUGUUAUUUAAGUAACCCAUUCUGUGGUAUUUUGUUAUGGCAUCCUAGGCUGACCACAAUAAACAACACACUCACUAAUUCAUCAGGCUUCUGCUGAAGGCCUACUAUGGGCAAAGCACUGAGUUUAGCACUGUGGGCAGACACAAAAGCAAGUGGGAAUACAACAGCUCACAAUAUGGUCAGGGAGAAUGACAACACAAAUAUAUCUGUCAUAGAGCAGAAUGCAAAUAUUUUGGUAUAAUGCUUCUAUAACUCUUGUUUCAACAAUGCAAAUUUGUUCCAAUGUGAUUGACAUAUUAAGGAACAAUCUGAGCAUAAUGUGAAUGUUGUGU
rnacentral:lncRNA from 1 species